CCUGGAGCCGCGGGUGCGCUCAAGCGCCUCGGGAUCACCGACCAGCGCACUGUCCGGCUGUCACUCGUCCCUUGAUUGCUGCUCUCUUGCGGGGGAUCGAGGAGUCUUCGACGGGGCCGAGAGAUUCCGCAGCCCAGGCCCUGGGCAGACUUUCCUGGCAGCGAGCGCCCGAAGCUGGGGAAGGGAAACUUUCACUGGGCCCUGAGCCCUGCAGCGCGAUCCGCCGAGCCCUCGCGUCCCGGCUUCAGCGACGUCUCCCUGCUCUCUCGGGACCGCAGUUCCUUUCUCGCUCCGGGAGGAGAAGCGGGCUACAGGCGAAGGCGGGGGCGGGGGCCUUUAUAGAGGACCCAGCUCCCAACAAAACGGAUCUUCCUCUGUCGCUCUUCGCCUCGGCACAGCGAAUGUUUCCAUCUCCCCGGUGGCGGCGGCGGCGGCUGCUCCUCCCAUCACCAGGAGAUGCCCCCGCGGGCAGCGCAGACGAGCCCGCUGCGCCUUCGCCUCGGACCGGCCCGGAAGGACCCCGCACACGCAGUCGAGACGAACGAGCCCAGUCCGCAGCGCUCCCUGCCGCCCCGCCCGGCACCAGCCGCUUCUGGCCCACAGGGUCUCCAGGCAGAGGAAGCCCCGGCCGCCGCCGCGCGAAAGCGGCGCCCGCAAGGAUGCUGCUCCCCGACUCCCCUACGCCGAGCGCCCGCAGCGCGCUCCGCCCGGCCUCUGCGCGCUCCUGCCAGCCGGCGCCGGGUUGGUGCGCUCCCCUGUCUCGUCGCGCGGCUCCGCCCCUCCGCCGCUCUGCCCUCCUCCGCCCCGGGUCCCACGCCCGCCCUCUUCGUGGCGCCCGAUCCCGCCGCCGCCUCUUUGGGAGCCGGGGCCGCGACCCUUUUCACCUCGGCGCCGCCUGGGCCGCCGUCCUCGAGUUGGAAGACUUAGGUCUCCGUGCGCACAGCACCCGGGCGCCGACGCGGGAUUCGCAGCGCUCGGGCGCCUCAGGCUGUAAAUGACUGAGAUUCUGCGUGACUGCGGAGUUGAUCCCACGUUCUGGAAAACGUGUUGAAGAUAAAGUUUGGACCGAAAUCCCCCGGCAGCGGUACUCUCCGCUCUUCCCUGGGGUCGAGAGCAGCCCCUCCAGGAACCGAAGACGCACUGCUCCCGAGAGCCUCGGAGGAGCGCCCUUCUCAGGCUGCUGACGCCCGGCUCGCCCUGUCAGCUGCUCUGUGGUUUCUGCCUCGAAAAGGAAGUAAUAAAUCUUUCUGGCCCAGAGGUCAAAGAAGACGCUUCAACUUUCCUGGAGUGCACCGCGGGGAGACUUCUGCGCGUUUACCGGACCUGUAUACCGGGCUGCUUCGUUUUUAUUACGCCGCCGGCAGAGAACUAACCUCCCGCUUCAGAGAGCUGCGUCCGCGGUGACUGAAGUCCUCCGGAAUUGGGGUGAUGGCGGAGGAGGCGACUCUGUUCUAAUUUACAGCAAAACACUUGUCCCGUUUCUUGGCUUUUAGAGAUGAGAUCAAAGACCCUAGUCUCAAAGGAAACACUGUCGUUGAAAAUCGAAAGUCAUUUUUUAGCUAGUUUAAGUACUUUUUGUCAAAGAGAGAAUCCUAAGCCACAUCCUCAACUUCAUCUGUAAAAUGGGGACAACUAUCUGCUAAAGAGAGACCGGAGAGAAGUUAGAGCGCGCAUGGGAAAGGUAAAACCCCAGCGCAGGGCUGCGGGUGAGAAGACAAAUUGCUGUGGGACCAGAAGCUCAGUGGCCGCGGGCACAGUGAGGACCUCGAAGAGGUGACCCUUUGGAGUCGUUACUAACAAAUUUGAAGUUGCUGCAAAAUUACUGUUGUUCUACUUGAGGCAGCCUCUCUCCGCCAGGAGACCUACCUAAAUUUAAGAUGUUGCCGUUAGAGCCAUUAUUCUACAUGAAGUUACAGAAUCUUCCAAGUACGAGAACUCUUAGCGAGCUAAGUUGUUUUCCGUGCAGUGUUUCAUCAACUUCAUAUGGAAGGUGGAAAUAUGUUUGUCUUUUGGAAAGAUUUGGUUCUUUAGAAAUUUCCAAAGACAGAUGUUGAAGAAAGGUGCUUCAGAAGGAAAAUAAUAUUUGUUAAUAAAUGAUCAACUCAAGAAAGUAAUCACAAGAUUUGAACAAACACUACCGGAAACCAGAUCUGUUUCUUAUAUUUAGGAAACUUCCCCAAAAGAAGAGCAGAGACCACACCUGACCAGAGAAGCCAAAAGGGACUGAGACUCAUAUCCCCAGACUCCUCUGCAAGUAGGGGCCAGCCUAAGGUUACUCUGCAAGUAACCUCAGCCUGGCAGCUCAGCUGUGCAGAGACAGGAACAGAUGAGAUUCAGUCUGUUGGUGGCCGCUGGGGGUCUGGGCUGCUAGUGCCUGGGAUUCUCCAUUCUCUCAGCCUGGCUUGCUUCCCAUUCCUGGGGUUUCCAGAAGAUGCCCAGUGACUCUUUUUCUCCUCAGUCAGCACAAACCAGUGAUCAGUGUAUGCCAUAUAAUAUUAAACCCUGUUUCAUACAGCAGGGACACUGUGCUUGCAUAAGAUGCCAGGACUUCAAAUGUGUACUUCUGUUUCCCACCUGAAAUAUGGUCUUACUAACACUAGCUCUAUUUCACUGAAUUCUUUCAAAUAAACCACUUGUUUAAAAAAUCUCUUAGAAUUGUUAAGUAAUUGGACAAAACAAAUCUGUGUAUAUGUUUUUGUUUUGUUUCUGUUUUUUUGAGACAGGGCCUCACUAUGUAAUUCAAGCUGGCUUCAAACUCUCUACAUAGCUCAGGCUGGCCUCAUAGCAAUGCUCCUGCCGCAGCCUCCUAACUGCCAGAAUUAAGGUGUGUGCCAUCACACCCACUGUAUGUGUUUUUUGAACCAGCUUGUUUUACUAAAAGAAUGCAAGUAUCAGAGCCAGAGGAGAAAAAAGACUGUGCAGAAAUGCACUUCCACUCCACAUUCUAGUUCUUUCGGGUGGUAAAUGGGAAUCCAGCCCACAUAAAAUCCACCUGCUUGGAUUUUAAGAUUUAUGGAGCCACCUGGGAGAAGUGAAGAAUGUUUUCACAGACCAACAUCCCAGGGAAAGCUCUGAAAAGCAUUCCACUUAAUUCUUCCACCUGUGUAUCACAACUUCUAGGUGUUUCCUCCCCUGUAUCUUUUUUGUGCUACUGAGACAAACACAGGAUCCAGCUCUUUUAAGAAUUCAUCUUACAAGUUGUUUUCUUCUCAUCAGCUGCAACUUCCAGUCAUAGAAUCUGAGGCAGAGUCUGGGGACAUGGUUAAUCAUGUCACAGAGAAUGAUCCCAGAUGGAGAAAAAGCUGCAAACACAAGAAACCUGAAUGUCAGAGGCCUGUGCUCAGGAGAAAAGGUCACUCAAAGGAGGACAAUAAAAAGAAAUGAGGUAGUGUAACAAGAGUAUUCCUUCAUGAAGACUUUCUUUUUACUCUUACAAUGUCAAGGUACUCGUAAGGGCUAGAGACCAUCACAUACUUACAUUUGCAAAUCCAUCCACCAGUGUCACGCCCCUCCUCACUGCAAAUAUCUUGAAGAUGAGCACGAAGUUGCCUCUGUGUGGGGACACAGGCAAGAAAAGGAGUCCUAGGGACUCCAGGGCAUGAGACCAGAACAAGCUGCUCAGACUACGUUCACGUUUUCCUGCUUGCUUGUGUCAAUUUUAUUCCACCAAGCCUUUGUCAUCUGCUGCCACCCACCUGCCCUUGUCAUGUCACCAUCAAGCAUGGAUGUGGCUGUGGCCAGCUCACCUAAGGACAACCCUGAGGUUCCUAUCAGGGAAGAUGUUAUCAAAAAAUAUUAAAAUAAGGCAGAUGUGAAGGAAACCCAUAGACUCCCUGCUGUCUCCAAGAACCGGCACUUCUUCCAGGGACCAGAGCAGAGAAAAAAUGCCUGUGCUCUAGCUCUGCCAGGCAUGUUUGUCCAACUUACUACCUCCUGGAGAGAGUGCCUACUAGUAGUACUAAAGAGCUACUCAAGUACCUGUAGAAUUACGAGCUCAUAACAUAGCUAUGGAAUUACAGGGCAAUCCAUCUCCCAUCACUCCCCAUUGCACAGAAGAUUCCAGUGAUUCCCCCAGGCCAGCCUCAGGCAUUCAGCAGGGUCAGGAUGUCCCUUGGCCUGAGAUAGGAGAGGCUAAGCACCUGCCAUUUGCCCUCAGCCUGAAUGGAUUAACCCACUCAUGAGUAUAGCAGCCCCAUGAUCCAAUCACCUUCCAAAAGCCCAGUCUCUGAAUACAUGAGACUUUAAGGGGGACAUUUAAAUCUAAACCACACCAAGGCAUGCAGAUCUGGAUGCAUCCACCAUGCCGAGCAUGUCUCUGUAACUGUCUUUCAUUGAGCACCUCCACAACCCAUUCCACCAAGCCACAGCCCAAAGAGCUAACUCCUCAGAGAGUUGCAAAAUUUUGUGUUAGCAUUUUUCAGUAUUAGUCCUAGAUGAGACACAACUUUAUAACCAUCUCAAGCUGCCCUUUUCAAUUCUAAUAUUCUCAUAUUCUGUGCAUCCCAAGAGGCCCCUUUCCUGACAAAGAUAUUUACCUUAGAUAUGUGUAAGUUCCGGAGUCAAAAAUAUGAUCAUAAAGCCAUUAGCUAA
ensembl:lncRNA